rnacentral:rRNA from 1 species
ACUGUGAAACUGCGAAUGGCUCAUUAAAUCAGUUAUCGUUUAUUUGAUAGUACCUUACUACUUGGAUACCCGUGGUAAUUCUAGAGCUAAUACAUGCUAAAAACCCCGACUUCGGGAGGGGUGUGUUUAUUAGAUAAAAAACCAAUGCCCUUCGGGGCUGCUUGGUGAUUCAUGAUAACCAAACGAAUCGCAUGGCCUUGAGCCGGCGAUGGUUCAUUCAAAUUUCUGCCCUAUCAACUUUCGAUGGUAGGAUCUGGGCCUACCAUGGUAUCAACGGGUAACGGGGAAUUAGGGUUCGAUUCCGGAGAGGGAGCCUGAGAAACGGCUACCACAUCCAAGGAAGGCAGCAGGCGCGCAAAUUACCCAAUCCCGACGCGGGGAGGUAGUGACAAUAAAUACUGAUACAGGGCUCUUUCGGGUCUUGUAAUUGGAAUGAGUACAAUUCAAAUCUCUUAACGAGGAACAAUUGGAGGGCAAGUCUGGUGCCAGCAGCCGCGGUAAUUCCAGCUCCAAUAGCGUAUAUUAAAGUUGUUGCAGUUAAAAAGCUCGUAGUUGAACCUUGGGCCAGGCUGACCGGUCCGCCUAACCGCGUGCACUGGUUCGGCCGGGCCCUUUCCUCUGGGGAGCCGCAUGCCCUUCACUGGGCGUGUUGGGGAACCAGGACUUUUACUUUGAAAAAAUUAGAGUGUUCAAAGCAGGCCUUUGCUCGGAUACAUUAGCAUGGAAUAAUAGAAUAGGACGUGCGGUCCUAUUUUGUUGGUUUCUAGAACCGCCGUAAUGAUUAAUAGGGACAGUCGGGGGCAUCAGUAUUCAGACGCGAGAGGUGAAAUUCUUAGACCGUCUGAAGACUAACUACUGCGAAAGCAUUUGCCAAGGAUGUUUUCAUUAAUCAGUGAACGAAAGUUGGGGGAUCGAAGACGAUCAGAUACCGUCGUAGUCUCAACCGUAAACUAUGCCGACUAGGGAUCGGGCGACGUUCCAAUUAUGACUCGCCCGGCACCUUACGAGAAAUCA